GACGAACGCUGGCGGCGCGCCUAACACAUGCAAGUCGAACGGAGCUGAGAGAAGCUUGCUUUUCUUAGCUUAGUGGCGAACGGGUGAGUAACGCGUGAGUAACCUGCCCUGGAGUGGGGGACAACAGUUGGAAACGACUGCUAAUACCGCAUAAGCCCACGAUCCGGCAUCGGAUUGAGGGAAAAGGAUUUAUUCGCUUCAGGAUGGACUCGCGUCCAAUUAGCUAGUUGGUGAGGUAGCGGCCCACCAAGGCGACGAUUGGUAGCCGGACUGAGAGGUUGAACGGCCACAUUGGGACUGAGACACGGCCCAGACUCCUACGGGAGGCAGCAGUGGGGGAUAUUGCACAAUGGGGGAAACCCUGAUGCAGCGACGCCGCGUGGAGGAAGAAGGUUUUCGGAUUGUAAACUCCUGUCGUUAGGGACGAUAAUGACGGUACCUAACAAGAAAGCACCGGCUAACUACGUG
rnacentral:rRNA from 1 species